rnacentral:lncRNA from 1 species
CAGGUCUUUACCUAAAUAGCUGCAGCAGGGAAUGGGAAUGCUUCUGUGCCCUCAUUUCCCAACUGAGUUUCUAUUUGUGCUCUGCUUUCUCCCAUCUCCACCCCUUUUAUGAAUUGAGGGGGAGAAAUCCAGACCAUGCAGCCUGGUAAAAAGCCUUUUAGAAGGAAAAAUGGCUGCCUGGUAUCUUGAAGAUUUCAAAGUGGUUUCCUUGGAUUAACAGAAAUAUUCUGAACUCUACAAAGAAAACCAAAUCCUUUUCUGGGAACAGAAUUCUUCGACAUCCCAUCUCUGCUCAUCAGGGCACUUCCAUUCCAUCUGAUGAUGAACAAUAUAUGCCACCCAACAGUACAGGGCCCAGGAUGAUAAUGAUUCAGAGGCUGAUGAGCCCCAUCCCUUCCCAAUAGAAACGAGAUACAUCCAUGGAUCUGGAGGUCAAGAUGCCUCUGAGGCUGUAGGGGAUUGAAUAACAUUGAGUAAUUUCUGCCACAGGUAGUACUUGUCAUU